rnacentral:rRNA from 1 species
GAUGAACGCUGGCGGCGUGCCUAAUACAUGCAAGUCGAGCGAACAGAUAAGGAGCUUGCUCCUUUGACGUUAGCGGCGGACGGGUGAGUAACACGUGGGUAACCUACCUAUAAGACUGGGAUAACUUCGGGAAACCGGAGCUAAUACCGGAUAAUAUUUCGAACCGCAUGGUUCGAUAGUGAAAGAUGGUUUUGCUAUCACUUAUAGAUGGACCCGCGCCGUAUUAGCUAGUUGGUAAGGUAACGGCUUACCAAGGCGACGAUACGUAGCCGACCUGAGAGGGUGAUCGGCCACACUGGAACUGAGACACGGUCCAGACUCCUACGGGAGGCAGCAGUAGGGAAUCUUACGCAAUAGGCGAAAGCCUGACGGAGCAACGCCGCGUGAGUGAUGAAGGUCUUCGGAUCGUAAAACUCUGUUAUUAGGGAAGAACAUACGUGUAAGUAAAUGUGCACGUCUUGACGGUAACUAAUCAGAAAGCCACGGCUAACUACGUG